rnacentral:misc_RNA from 1 species
AGAUAACCAAAAAUGGAGAGCAAGCCUUCUUCUAUCCUUAUCAUUUGCAGCUUCCUCUUGUUUCUGGUCCUCCACUCCGUCCCCCAAGUCCUUGCUGCAAGAAAAUUAUUGGAUAUUUUCCCAAAUGGCUAUUUUCCUCCUGGGACAGCCCAAGUGCCACCUCCAACCCCAGAAACUAAGGUGAACUAUAAUAGCGAGACAAAAAAUGGCAGUCAUGCUCAAGUUGUUUCUGUUAAUGGGAAAACUAGGUCUGAAAGUGGCACGGUUAAUGGUAAGAAUGGACACCCGGUAUUCCAAGCAAAUACUCAUAAUGGGUAUGAAGCUGGUACAAUUAAAGGCGUCGAUGGCAAACCAAUAAUUCAAGUCAAAAAUACUACCGAUUAUCAAACUGCAAUAAUUAAUGGCAGCGAUGGAAAGCCUAAGUUUGAAGUCCACAAAUAUAAUAAUGGCACGGCAAUUAUUUCUGUUUUAGGCAGCGAUGGAAAGCCAAUCUACCAGAUAAAUUCUUUGCCUCCGCCAGGGGGCAUAGGGAACUCGUUCUUGCCUCCACCUGCUAAUUCUUACAAUCCAUUUCCCCCUCCACAGAUAUAAGGAAGAAGUACCUAUAUUAUAUAUGUGUGGUUGUUGUGCUGCUUAAUGCAUUACAUGUUUAGUUCUAUGAUGUUCCCUUUCGUAAGUUGGCGAUAAUCGGUUAACGAAUAAUAAUUGUUCACGAUUAUGCUCCUAUUUGCAAUUCAAUUUGAUUUUGUAAUCGUGUAUAUCAUAAAUAUGAUUCGGAAAACACUCAUUCCUGUCUUAAGG